GUGGGGAAUAUUGGGCAAUGGGCGAAAGCCUGACCCAGCAACGCCGCGUGAGGGAAGAAGGUUUUCGGAUUGUAAACCUCUGUCCUAAGUGACGAAGGAAGUGACGGUAGCUUAGGAGGAAGCCCCGGCUAACUACGUGCCAGCAGCCGCGGUAAUACGUAGGGGGCAAGCGUUGUCCGGAAUGACUGGGCGUAAAGGGCGUGUAGGCGGUUGAGUAAGUUGGGAGUGAAACUCCUGUUUUCAAGGCAGGAACUGCUCUCAAAACUGCUUGACUUGAGUGCGGAAGAGGUAAGUGGAAUUCCCAGUGUAGCGGUGAAAUGCGUAGAGAUUGGGAGGAACACCAGUGGCGAAGGCGACUUACUGGGCCGUAACUGACGCUGAGGCGCGAAAGCGUGGGGAGCAAACAGG
rnacentral:rRNA from 1 species